rnacentral:rRNA from 1 species
GAUGAACGCUAGCGGCAGGCCUAAUACAUGCAAGUCGAACGGUAAGGCCCUUUCGGGGUACACGAGUGGCGGACGGGUGCGUAACGCGUAUGCAACAUGCCUUCCAGCGGGGGAUAUACCAGGGAAACUUGGCGCAAUACCCCAUAGAAUUACGGGACCGCAUGGUCUUGUGAUUAAAACUCCGGUGCUGGGAGAUUGGCAUGCGUGACAUUAGCUAGUUGGCGGGGUAACGGCCCACCAAGGCGACGAUGUCUAGCUGGUCUGAGAGGAUGAUCAGCCACACUGGGACUGAGACACGGCCCAGACUCCUACGGGAGGCAGCAGUAGGGAAUAUUGGACAAUGGGGGGAACCCGUGAUCCAGCCAUGCCGCGUGGAGGAAG